AGUAGAACGCUGAAGCUUAGUGCUUGCACUGAGCGGAGGAGUUGCGAACGGGUGAGUAACGCGUAGGUAACCUGCCUGGUAGCGGGGGAUAACUAUUGGAAACGAUAGCUAAUACCGCAUGAGAAUAGAUACUGCAUGGUAUUUAUUUAAAAGGUGCAACAGCAUCACUACCAGAUGGACCUGCGUUGUAUUAGCUAGUAGGUAAGGUAACGGCUUACCUAGGCGACGAUACAUAGCCGACCUGAGAGGGUGAACGGCCACACUGGGACUGAGACACGGCCCAGACUCCUACGGGAGGCAGCAGUAGGGAAUCUUCGGCAAUGGGGGGAACCCUGACCGAGCAACGCCGCGUGAGUGAAGAAGGUUUUCGGAUCGUAAAGCUCUGUUGUAAGAGAAGAACAUCGCUGGGGGUGGAAAAUCCGGCGACUGACGGUAUCUUACCAGAAAGGGACGGCUAACUACGUGCCAGCAGCCGCGGUAAUACGUAGGUCCCGAGCGUUGUCCGGAUUUAUUGGGCGUAAAGCGAGCGCAGGCGGUUUGAUAAGUCAGAAGUAAAAGGCUGUGGCUCAACCAUAGUACGCUUUUGAAACUGUCAAACUUGAGUGCAGAAGGGGGGAGUGGAAUUCCAUGUGUAGCGGUGAAAUGCGUAGAUAUAUGGAGGAACACCGGUGGCGAAAGCGGCUCUCUGGUCUGUAACUGACGCUGAGGCUCGAAAGCGUGGGUAGCGA
rnacentral:rRNA from 1 species